GAUCCGGUAGGUCAGCUGGUUAGAAUGCCGCCCUGUCACGGCGGAGGUCGCGGGUUCGAGUCCCGUCCGGAUCG
rnacentral:tRNA from 1 species